rnacentral:rRNA from 1 species
AGAGUUUGAUCAUGGCUCAGAACGAACGCUGGCGGCAGGCCUCAAACAUGCAAGUCUAGGGGGUGUAGCAAUACAUCACCGGCGGACGGGUGCGUAACGCGUGGGAAUAUACCUAUUGGUUCGGAACAACUGAGGGAAACUUCAGCUAAUACCGGAUAAGCCCGAGAGGGGAAAGAUUUAUCGCCGAUGGAGGGGCCCGCGUCCGAUUAGGUAGUUGGUGGGGUAACGGCCUACCAAGCCUACGAUCGGUAGCUGGUCUGAGAGGAUGAUCAGCCACACUGGGACUGAGAUACGGCCCAGACUCCUACGGGAGGCAGCAGUGGGGAAUAUUGGACAAUGGGGGCAACCCUGAUCCAGCAAUGCCGCGUGAGUGAUGAAGGCCUUAGGGUUGUAAAGCUCUUUUGGCGGGGACGAUGAUGACGGUACCCGCAGAAUAAGCCCCGGCUAACUUCGUGCCAGCAGCCGCGGUAAUACGAAGGGGGCGAGCGUUGUUCGGAAUUACUGGGCGUAAAGGGCGCGUAGGCGGCCGAUCAAGUCAGAUGUGAAAGUCCUGGGCUUAACCUGGGGACUGCAUUUGAUACUGAUUGGCUUGAAUUCGGGAGAGGAUAGCGGAAUUCCCAGUGUAGAGGUGAAAUUCGUAGAUAUUGGGAAGAACACCGGUGGCGAAGGCGGCUAUCUGGACCGACAUUGACGCUGAGGCGCGAAAGCGUGGGGAGCAAACAGGAUUAGAUACCCUAGUAGUCC